rnacentral:rRNA from 1 species
UAUGUGAUCGUCUCUCGCAUAUCAAUAAGCGGAGGAAAAGAAACUAACAAGGAUUCCCCUAGUAACGGCGAGUGAAGCGGGAAGAGCUCAAAUUUGAAAUCUUAAAGGGUUUCCCUUUACGAAUUGUAGUUUAAAGAAGUGUUUUCUGUUGAGGUUUUGGUAAAAGUUCUUUGGAAUAGGACAUCAUAGAGGGUGAGAAUCCCGUAUUUGACCUUUACUUUCAACUUUGUGAUACACUUUCAAAGAGUCGGAUUGUUUGGGAAUGCAGUCCAAAAUGGGUGGUAAAUUUCAUCUAAAGCUAAAUAUUGGCGAGAGACCGAUAGCGAACAAGUACCGUGAGGGAAAGAUGAAAAGAACUUUGAAAAGAGAGUUAAACAGUACGUGAAAUUGUCAAAGGGGAAGCGUUUGACACCAGUGUUGUUUUUCUGAAAAUCAAUUAAAGAACUGUUUAUGCUAAGCUGUUUAGACUUUAUCAGCUAUCUGUUUAGUUUUGAGCUUUUCUUUAAUGCACUUUUCAGUUAACAAGUCAACAUCAAUUUCUUUUGCUGUAAAAAAGCUUGAGGAAGGUGGCUUGAGAUUCGUCUUAAGUGUUUAUAGCCUCUUGCCUAUGCAGUCGGAGAGAUUGAGGUCUGCAGCGUAGAUCCUUCGGGGCUAAAUGCAUUUGUGCUAAGUUAUAGCAUUUUAUAGACAACUUGUUGACUAUGAUUUGUCUUGUAGCUUACUCGCUUAUGUUAUUUUACCUACGCUUAGGAUGUUGAGUCGUAGAGCACGCAG